rnacentral:rRNA from 1 species
UACGAGUGCCCCCAAGCGUUAUCCGGAAUCAUUGGGCGUAAAGGGUGUGUAGGUUGCUUCAUUAGUCUUCUGUCAAAUUCUUCGGCUCAACCGGGGGUCCGCAGAAGAAACGGUGAAGCUAGAGGAUGUGAGAGGUGAAUGGAACUCAUGGUGUAGGGGUGAAAUCCGUUGAUAUCAUGGGGGAACACCAAAAGCGAAGGCAAUUCACUGGCACAUUCCUGACACUGAAACACGAAAGCGUGGGUAGCGAAGUGGG